GAUGGUCUUAUUUCUUUUCUGUUUUUUCAGAAGGACAUUUCACUCUUUGAGAGUAACACUGUAAGGAGCAGCUCUAAGAGGUGGUGAAUUGUGUUUAGUGCCAUAGCCGCCUCUGCUCUCUGCAGUCAGCCCAUCAUUUCUGACAAAGAACUCAAAAACUAAUUCAAGUGAGUAAGACAAUGGCAUAUACUCCCAGCUAUGAUUAUAGUUAUCAUCAGACUGAUGUUGCCCAUGAAUUUGCUUAUGUUCAGCCUGAUUUUGACUAUAAUCAUGCUAAAGCAGAACAUUUGCUUGGUGCGAUCAGACUCGGCUUCUUCUUCAUUGCUGGCGAGU